CCUUUGGCCAUGCGUGGAUGCAUAGUCCUAAUAUAAUACUGUGAUAUUAUUACUGCUUAUCUUCUGGGGCACGUCGUAAACAGAGUACAACCGUCUCCCUACUUGCAUUUGUUAAAGAAGCUCGUAUCGAUGGACAUUGCCAGCAGUCCUAGAGACGCCAACGGUGUGGGCUUGAAGGCCGUGCACCGUCUGUUUGUUGACUACAAGAACCAGCAGUGCCCUAACAAAGAGCUCUCCGACAGGCUGUGGAAGAUGCUCAAGAUAUGGUUCUUUAUAUACUUGGUUGUGGCUGUACCUGUGUGGAGCACUACAGGUUGGUGUUGUUGCUGUUUAUGCUGCAAGUUCUUUAAACCCCAGAAAACCAUUGAAGAGGCUAAGCUAUAUCUCAUUCAGAACCCACCAGGAAUCCUAAAAACCCGUAAAGGGCAAACCUUAUAUGAGCCUACCGAUAACGAGAGAGAGUGUUAUGCAGAGUUUGAACAUUUGAUAAGCAUUAUAUGA
rnacentral:misc_RNA from 1 species